CCCUUUCCUGGCUGCCUACACAGAAAGCAGCCAUGGGAGACUUGCCGAGGACUUUGUCCACCAAGUGAUGAAAGCAUGCAAAUGCCUCCGAAUCAAAGGCCUGAGCCACGUAUGAAGUGUGAAUCUUCACACCAUGCAAGAGAAGCCACAUGUUAUUGCUCUGGUCAACAAUCCCAGCUGACCCAACCAGAUAGUGUAUCAGGCAUAUGAGUAAAGCAUUCUUAGAUUCUUCAGUCCAGCCCUUCACCAGCAGAACACCAUUCAGCAACCCUUGUCGGCAUCAUGUGGGACAGAAGAACCACCCAGCUGAGCCUUAUCCAAAUUCCUGACCACAAAAUCAUAAGCCCUGAGAGAGCAAGACCAGCCCCUUCUUUUCUUCCACCUCCUCAUCUACUCAACAUGUAUCUUCAUUCUCAAGACGAUGAGGAUGAAGACCUUUAUGAUGCUCCACUCCCAGUUAAUAAAUAGUGAUGAAAUUGAGACCUCGCAGUUAAAUGUUUAAGUCAGGAUGAACUACUUUUCCAGGGAUGGUGAAGCCGGAGCUCUGGAUGGCACUCCUGGAUCUCCUAAAUCUUGAUUCCGUGCUCUUUUCUCCCCACUUGGCUCCACUGUUUUGGCAGAGUCCCUUAAGAUGGACCUGAUUGGAUGAUGUGGAACUAGCCAUGCAGAAAGAACAGAGGGUGGGAAAACAAAUGAGGUCAGAGAGUCCUCAUAUUAGUCGGUUCUUGCACUGCUAUAAAGAACUAUCUGAGGCUGGAUAAUUUAUGAAGAAAAGAGGUUUACUUGACUCACGGUUCCACAGGCUGUACAGGAGGCAUAGCUGGGGAGUCCUCAGGAAACUUAACAAUCAUAGCAGAAGACAAAAAAGAAGUAAGCAUGUCUUCACAUAGCCAGCAAGAGAGAGAGACAGAGACCAAAGCAGGAGGUGCUAUACACUUUAAAACAACCAGAUCUCAUGAGAACUCUUUCAGGAGAACAGCAAGGGGAAAGUUUGCCUCCAUGAUUCAAUCACCUCCCACCAGGCCUUUCCUCUAAUACUGGGAAUUACAAUUGAACAUGAGAUUUGAGUGAGGACAAAGAGCCAACCAUAUCAGUCCUCUUCAGUUGUUGGUACCUAUGUGGGGAGAAGGAGCUGUGUAGAGUGGGUGUGACUAAGUCGGUCAGAACUGGGAAGCAUGGCAGACUAGGCUGUCCUGCAACCGGAGGGUGGUUUCAGAAUCCAGAGCCUGGGAUAGCAUUCCCUGGACCCUCAGUCCAUACCUGCUAUCUACAGGCAGCUAGAGAAAACGUAAGAAUCAGCAUCGGUCACAGGUGACAUUGGGGCAGGGCACUGAGCUCCCUGCUCUCCACUGCGGCUGCAGUCUUUAAACUCCUUAUUCUAUCCAGCACAGACAGUUUGCAGACGAAGGUUUCUGCACCGGCAUCUCUGCUCAGAAGAGAUUUGCUGAUGUAACAAUUAUUUGCACUAUUUAUAUUCAAAUGUUCUUUUAAAAAAAUGCAGCCUCUAAAUUUACGGAUAGUAACUGUGUGCAAAUCAGGAAACUUAUCUCCUUUUUAUAGUCUAAAAUCAAAUUACACUUUACAUUUUUCUCACUUGCAGAAUAUUAGAUUGUGAUGCCUAAAUGACUUGUGUUUAUGAAAAAGGUGAAUUUUAAGAACAAAUUUUAAAACUGCAUAAGCAGUUUAAUGGGUGUUUUUAGAAAGUGAGAAUGAUCAGCUGGUAAGCAUUUAUUAUAUAUUAAACUGGAAGUUAUAUCGUCGCAUCCGUUAGCACUGAAUUCUGAAAAUCAUCAUGGCCCAGGUUUGUGUUUAUGAAAUGAUGGACCACAGGACUGUUAAAUAAAGUUGUAAAAAAAAAGUU
ensembl:lncRNA LINC02325 long intergenic non-protein coding RNA 2325